GACGUAGGGCGCGAGCGUUGUCCGGAUUUAUUGGGCGUAAAGAGCUCGUAGGCGGCUUGUCGCGUCGAAUGUGAAAACCUGCAGCUCAACUGCAGGCUUGCAUUCGAUACGGGCAGGCUCGAGUUCGGUAGGGGAGACUGGAAUUCCUGGUGUAGCGGUGAAAUGCGCAGAUAUCAGGAGGAACACCAAUGGCGAAGGCAGCUCGCUGGGACGGUACUGACACUGAGACGCGAAAGCGUGGGGAGCAAACAGG
rnacentral:rRNA from 1 species